AGUGAACGCUGGCGGUAGGCCUAACACAUGCAAGUCGAACGGCAGCACAGUAAGAGCUUGCUCUUACGGGUGGCGAGUGGCGGACGGGUGAGGAAUACAUCGGAAUCUACUUUUUCGUGGGGGAUAACGUAGGGAAACUUACGCUAAUACCGCAUACGACCUACGGGUGAAAGCAGGGGAUCUUCGGACCUUGCGCGAUUGAAUGAGCCGAUGUCGGAUUAGCUAGUUGGCGGGGUAAAGGCCCACCAAGGCGACGAUCCGUAGCUGGUCUGAGAGGAUGAUCAGCCACACUGGAACUGAGACACGGUCCAGACUCCUACGGGAGGCAGCAGUGGGGAAUAUUGGACAAUGGGCGCAAGCCUGAUCCAGCUAUACCGCGUGGGUGAAGAAGGCCUUCGGGUUGUAAAGCCCUUUUGUUGGGAAAGAAAAGCAGCAGGUUAAUACCCCGCUGUUCUGACGGUACCCAAAGAAUAAGCACCGGCUAACUUC
rnacentral:rRNA from 1 species